rnacentral:lncRNA from 1 species
GUGCAGGCCGCCAAAAAUCAACGGCACGCCUUCGAUUAUAAAGCCGUUUUUCUUUGUUGUCGAAAAUCAAAACGUGUUAGUUUGUAAUUCUCACGAAUCUUGGAGCGAUACCAAAUUCAACUACUUUAAGACAUUGGCUCGAAUUUUGUUUGUGCCUUCAGGUUUCGAGGAAAGGAACAAACUAAGAAAUAAUUGUUAACUUCUCAAACCAAAGGCCCGGAAACUCUGUGCGUAAAUGUUACAUUCUGGCGCAUACCGCUUUUUACUAGCUAGCUGACGGAUGUUUUCAGACAUAUUUUUCAAAAGAUAUGGGAAGUCUUUUUUUUGUCUUGAAUUUCAUUCAAACGUAAUGGAGGCCAAGGGAUUUGCAGUAGUUCACCACCAGUAAAGGUACAGCGUUAACUAGCCUUUCAGGUUAGUACAACUAACUAGUUAGCGCAGCUGCAAACCGUAGUAGCCUAACCUAGCUUGUUAGCUAGCGAAAGAACAUGUGACUAGGUAGAUAGCAAAUGUUCGCUGGAUCUCCAAAUACGAUCUAGGCGUUUGCAGCCACUUAGCUAACUUAUAUUGGGCAAAUGAUAAUAGCUAGUUAUCAAGUUAGCUUGCUCACAUCAGUUUUAUGGUCCAUGUUUUAAUUGAUGCAAAAUGGACGUUAAGCAAGAGGAAAAUGAGCGGGAGCUAUCCCAAACAAUAAUUUGGUCUGAUUCGAUUAAUGCCUGGAUAGAUUACCCAAGUUCUCUAUUGUCAAAAAACACAGAAACAGGUUCCCAUGUGGGUUUACUGAAAGAGCGUACAUGUGUACCUACCGUAAGUCCCCAAACAACAAGUCGAGGGCAGAUUUUACGUAUUUUUCCUGAAAUGACCGGAGCAAGUGAUGGGGAGAACAGGGGUGUCAAAAUUGUUUAUUUCUGCAAAGACCAAGAUACCAUCAGCACAUCUGAAAGGCAUUCGAUCAAAGAGGAGUCAGGACAUGUAUCAACCCUCAGUGAUUCUUUUGAAGCUCAAAUCAACCCAAAGUCACAGGGUUUUAGCCGAAAACAGACCCGGACCAAUAAUGAAUUGCCUGUAGACAAUGUUAAUAUCCAAGGCCAUAGUACUGCCAUUACUUCUGUGCUGACCUCACCUGCUAUAGAAAGUGGCUAUAAUUUAUCUGUAUCUAAUAUUAUUCCAGAAUAUUGUGAGCCAUUGAACUUUCCCUCAGAUGAAGAAGAAGACUACAAUACCAAUUUAAGACGAAGAUUGCAAUGCCAAAAAACGGUUGAGGAUAAAUAUCUAUGGCAGUGCCGUGGCUGUUACUCAAAACCUAACCCCAAAAGAUUUGGGAAAUAUUUGAAAGAUCCAUAUGCUAAGUGCAAGGAAAUAGGAAUAGAUUUCCAUGUUAGAUCUGGAGCGAGACAGAAACUUGAUUUGCAUUUACUGACAAUUGGUGUAAUGAUCGAAGUGUCUGAAUAUGUUAAAAACAUUAAUAGAUCUAACAAGCAUGUUAUCUUUGAUAUUCUAGAUUACAACUUUGAUCUUGGUGUGCAAAAUGAAGUACGAGGUUACUUUUCAAACAAGAUAGAAAGAAAAUUAAAUGACAUGCUGAAGAUGUAUACCAAGAGGAGAAAUCCUGAGUGGUUAAAAGAAGUGUUUGAACUUCCUGAUUCAAAGACAAUGAACGCAUGGGGAAAAUCUCGGUUUGCACGGUCCAAUUUGAAUAACAGCGUGUCAGAAAAUCCUACACCUUUUGACAUCUGCAUAAAGGAGAAGCCUGUUGUGGACCUGAUAGCUCCUCUGCAUGUGACGACUGAGAACCUCUCUACUCAGACAGAUGUAACACGAUGUGCUGAGACAGCAAUCCUUGACCCUGAAAAUGGACCUAAUGAUAUCUGCACAAGGGAUAAGUCAGAUCUGGGCGUCAUCCAUCAUGUCAAGACGGAGACUGUCAGCACUCAGACAGACAUGACAAUGGACCAAUCCUUCAUGAUGCCCACAGUAGAAGAAGCAUUGAGUGAACUCUACCCAAUCUGUAAGGAAAAAGGACUUGACCUUGAUGUGAAAUCAACAUUUGGGAAAAAGGAGAAACUUGACUUGCGUCUAUUGACCAGAGAGGUAAUGAUUGAAUUGGCUGAUUUUACCUCACAAAUGUGUGGAAAUUGGAAGCAGAUGGUCUGUGAUGUUGUUGAGCAUAAUUUUGAUCUGGAUUUAAAAAGUGGGAAAACUGACCUGGCUGAAGAUAUCAUUAAUAGGUUAAGAGCAGCUUUGCAGCCCAAUGUAAAUUUAAAAUUACAUGAUCACCGACUGAGAUGUGAAUUAGAAAAGGAAUACUUUUUCUUGAAGAAUUCGUGCAAACUCAAGAAUGAUACAGAGAUGUCCAGUAACCAGGUAACUACAGCAUCAUUUGAGCCGAAUGAUCAAAUGAAAGAAGUGUCGAAAAGGAGGAGAUUGGAUUUAAUGAAAAAGGAAAAAGAAAUGGACACGUGCGUAGCCAGGGAGACGGAGGGAGUCCGUUUCGAAGUCAGACCAGUAGAAUCUCAUUGUGUCAAGAAGGAGAGAAUCUCUGAUGAGACUGACCUUGCACUUUGUAUUGAUGAAACAAAGCAAAUUGUUGUUACCAACUUGGACCAAUCAAAUGUGACGUCUAACACCAAAAAAGUUGUCAACGCGUGCUACACACGCUGUGAGGAAAUAGGUCUGGACCUUGAUGUUGCAUUCAAACCCUCUAAAAAGAAACUGGAAUUUCAGUUACUGACAAACGGUGUAGUAUUUGAGGUGUAUAAAUAUGCUAAAAUAAAACCCUAUCCCCUAAAAGCAGAAGGAUGGGGGCAUAUUCUCUAUGCUAUUCUAGAAUACAAUUUUGACCUUAGUUUGCAAAAUCAGAGACGAAGUCAAUUUCAAUUUUGGAUUUAUCGUAAAGUGAAAAGAAUGGUUAAAAAACACAGACUUCAACUCACAAGAAGGGACAAACUCUCAAAAGAAUUGUUUGUAAUACCAAAUGUGAUUCAAACCAAAGCAAAAAAAACAGUGCUUUAAGAUUAUUUCCCCGGAAAAAUGUAUGGAACAAGAUGAACAAAAACGAGUUUAUCUUCAUCAUGUUAGACACUAUCGCCAUGGAGACGAUUUGAAACAAUCUCCACUGAUGAAGCAGCAAUGCUUGGCCAGGAUAAAAUGGACCAGACCUUCACUCUGAGAUCAAAGUGGUUUAUUUCUGUGAAGACCAAGAUACCGUCAGAACAUCUGAAGAGCACUUGAUCAUGGCAUGGAUCAACACCCAGUAAUAUUCGGGAAAAAAAUGUAUUCAGCCUCCCACAAGUCACCACUACCGACUGCAGAAAGGAGUUCUUUUGAAAGUCAAAUCAACCCAACUUCACAGAUGUUUUUUAAAAUAUUUUUAUUUCACCUUUAUUUAACCAGGUAGGCAAGUUGAACAAGUUACGUUAUGUAACAAGUUAUGUAACCAGAAGGUCACUACAGCUUCACUUGAGCCAAAGACUGAAAGGAGUAACAGAAAAGAGGAGAUUUAAUGAGGAAAAAUAAAUAAGUUGAUAUGUUUUAUAGCCACGAAGACCAAUGACAUGUAAUGCUAUGAAGUCAGACAAGUAGAACCUCAUUGUGACGAGACAGAGAGCAUCUCUGAUGUUUCAUCCCAGUAGAACCUCAUUGUGACGAGACAGAGAGCAUCUCUGUUGUUUCAUCCCAGUAGAACCUCAUUGUGACGAGACAGAGAGCAUCUCUGUUGUUUCAUCCCAGUAGAACCUCAUUGUGAUGAGUCACAGAGCAUCUCUGGUGUCAGAGGAAGGUCUUAAAAAUUGUCAGACUGUUCUGUCUGCUACCGCACAGCAAGCGGUACCGGAGCGCCAAGUCUGGGACCAAAAGGCUCCUUAACAGCUUCUACCCCCAAGUGAUAAGACUGUUAAACAGUUAAUCAAAUGGCUACCCGGACUAUUUGCAUUGCCCCCCUUUUUUAUGCUGUUGCUACUCGCUGUUUAUAAUCUAUGCGUAGUCAGUUUACCCCUACCUACAUGUACAUAUUACCUCAAUUUACACGACUAACCUGUACACCCGCACAUUGAUUCUGCACCGGUACCCCUUGUAUAUAGUCUCCUUAAUGGUAUUUUAUUGUAUUACUUUUUUAUCUUGCUUUAGUUAUGUUUUUUAAAUAGCAAAUAUUUUCUUAAUUAAUAAAAAAAAUCUGCAUUGUUAGUUAAGAGCUUGUCAGAAAGCAUUUCGCAGUAAGGUCUACACCUGUUGUAUUCGGCGCGUGUGACAAAUAAAAUUGUAUUUGAUUUAACUUAAUCUCCUCUCGGCCAGGAAAUAGAAUGGAGAAAAAUAUUACCGUGACCAGGAAAAGGAGUCUGAUGCAGAUAGAUUAAAGUCAUUGUAAUAUGUUAGGUUGAUUCUUGCCAAACUUUUUAAAUAUUUUGUAGUCGAGACUGGUUCUGAUAAGAAAUUCAAACAAAUCCCAGAAUUACAGAUCAGAUAUCCUAGGGUUUGUGGGUAUUAGAAAAUAUGCAAAACGUCAAGUGCUGUCAGUGUUGCAUUUGUAACCUUUGACAUGUUCAAGAAAACUCGCUCUUUGGAAUGCCUCUGGACAAUGGACAGUGAAAAAGACUUGUGUUGAAAUCAGGGCAGAGAGAACAGGGUUGUAGUCAAAAAGAAGAAGGGCUGUUGAGCAGGUGUGGUAGAGAGAAACACUAAAGCAGUGGAGCUAAAGUCUGGACAGGAUGUAGUCUAACGGUGGAAAAAAUUACACAAACUGGUUGAUGCACACAUUACAAUGACAACAGUUGCAACAAGCUUACUCUGAAUUGACCCAAAGACCAUACUUAGAAUGGUUCCUAAUGGAAGACUAAUUUCCUGUCUCCCUGAAGUCAAUAGACUCACAUUCUAUACCUCACAGAGUCAACAAGCCUACCAGAGAUUCAACUCCAUUGUAUUCAUUAGGAAUACUGUAGCAAAACGUGCAAAUGGUGUACCAAUUAACCUAGUCUUUUUAGUAUUCAGUGAAAUAAUGGGAAAUGUAUGUAUGUAUAUAUGUAUAUGUGUUUGACUUAUUUGGAUUAAGGGUUUAGACUUUGAUUUGUGGAUUGUGUAGAUUCCCUUGGCCUCCUGUUAACACUUGAUGCCUGGUCUUGCUGUAAAGAGACUGAAUACAGCAUGAUUAUUGCUACACUUCAUUUGUUUUCAGCGUUGAACGACGUUUCAAUUGACAAGCCAAACUCCACUACCUUUACAAGCCUCAAUAGAAGAACCUCUGAUCUUCUUUGUUAGAUAUAAGAAGGUAAACAAGGAUAUAUAUAUUUUUUUAAAUAAGACUUGCGUUGGUGAAAGAACCUACUAUGAUGGAGCAUGUUUUUCUUUUAGAAAAUAUAUUUGGAACUUUUCCGGGGUUUUUUCUAGCAAGAUUAAGAGACCGUACAUCAAGACUUGCUUUACUGAAACCAGUACUUCCUGUUUUGAACAUGAAGUUAUUCUACCAUCAACUGUGAAGUGGAAGUGUUUUGUUUGUUUUGAAGAGGACACUUUCACUAACGUUCUUAGCUGUUUCUCGGGACACCUGUGAGCCUCGGAUAAAAAGGUGAUGUGUGUUUGCAGUCUUAUCCCUUUUCUACUGUUUCAACUCUUCACAAAUGAAAACAUCUAAUCGCCAAAGGUUGACGCCAAUAAAGUCUCUCUGCUGGUGACGACGAGGUGGCCUCUCUGCUGGUGACGACGAGGUGGCCUCUCUGCUGGUGACGACGAGGUGGCCUCUCUGCUGGUGACGACGAGGUGGACUCUCUACUGGUGAGUUCCUGACAUUUUGUGGGUGGAGGUUUUUCAUGUUCACUGUAGACUUCUAUCAACAUGGACCGACUAGGGAGAAUAACUGCAUCUACACAACUGUCUUCCUUAACUAGCUGCUUUUAGCAACGCUAGAAUUUUAUGUGCACGCUAGCAUUGCUGGGAAUUAUUUAGCAAAAAACCUGAAUAGUCCGCCGGAAUUCCACAAGUUAAAUAAAAUUAAGUUUCAAUUUAUUCUGUCGAUUGUCUGUAGUCUUGGUCCUUAUGCAAGGGGGGAUGGGGGGGGGGGGAAUUUAACGUAGAAUUAAACCGAAUUUUCAAACGUGGGUUUGAAUUUUAUUUAGCUUCCGGCGGACUAUUACGUUUUUUUUGCAAACUAAUUCCUAAAUACUUACUAAAAUCAGCUACUGUAAAACAUUUUCAUGAGGCACUUAUUUUUUGUCCUUCUCUAAAUGUAACCUUUAUUUUACCAGGGCGGGUCAAUUAAGAACAAAUGAUUGUGUACAAUGACGGACUGGUAAGAGGUAGAAGGCCUCCAGUGGGACAGGAAGUGGUUGAUUUUAAAUCAGUUUUCCUUUUGAUAUUGUUUAUUUUAACACAGAUUUAGCAGAUUUUCAGGCUAACUACCAAGCCAGACACAGAACUAUUAAUAGUAAUAAUAAUACAAAUGUAUUUAUAAAUACAUUUCCCAUGCUCAAUAAGCAUGUUAUUUGUCUUUCCAUUUGUGUCUCAACUUAAGAUACCAUAUAGUUGGGCUGAAUGGUUCUGUCUUCAUCCAGGUGUCUAACAGUACCUGAAAGGAAUCACAAUCCUCAAACACAUCAAAACACUUCUCGGGCAGACUUGAAAAUCCAGGCUAGCAUUCACUUGUCAUAAAGAAGACCUUGUUGUCAUAGAGAUGGCCUUGUUGUCAUAGAGAUGGCCUUGUUGUCAUAGAGAUGGCCUUGUUGUCAUAGAGAUGGCCUUGUUGUCAGGAUUUCCAUACAAGGUUUUUUCACUCAUUGUGAAUUUGUACCAAAACAAUUAAUUCCUUUAUAUCCUUCAGGUGACAAAUUAAAUCAUUAUUUUAAUCACAAGUGUCUUUUUUGUUGUUUUGUUACCUCCAGAAACUUGAUUGCCACUGUGGAUGUAUAAUUUGUCUCCUCAUUUUAUUGACAGAUCCUCUAUUUCCAUACAAGAUGGACAUGAAGUCUGUCUCCAUCUUCAACCUGUGGAUUUGCUCUGAGGAUGUUGGACACCACCGUUGCACCUUCAGCCACACUAAUUUCCUGUCAGACUGGUUGUCUUUGAACUCCAUGCCAUGGACUGACUAAUCUGAACAUUUACUACAACAGGAAUACAAAUGUUCAUCAGACUCACCACACACGGUGGACAGACUACUCUCUAACUGGUUGUGAGGUUACAGGAAAUAGACUGAUCUGUUAUGAGGGACUGCCAGGUUGUGUAACAGAAUAAUACAGCCAGCUCAUCUUCAUUUCUCUUCUGUUAGGCCUUCUGACAUGUUGGUCUCUGUUGUUGGAACUGUCAGUCUUUGUUCUGGGCUUCAGUUUUCAUCAUGGUGGAUGCAGAAUUGUAAUCCUGAUUAGAUUAUGGUUAUAAAGACUUCAGGAUGUAGCCAGUACAUUGAAGUCCACUCUCUAGAUAAUAUAAAAGUCCUGGGAGAGGGACCGUGCUUCCAGGAGAAGGAUAACAGGACCUUGUCCAGAGACAACCCCCAGCCCUUAACCUCCAAGGGACUUGUGUACAGGGAGUUUAAUACAGAGAAUGUAAUACAAUAUUUGAUACGAUCAGGGAAUUUGACAUACAGUAUGGAUUACGUUUUGAAAAUUCAAUGAUCAUUACAUUUAUUUUUUUGUCAUUUUUUCCCCCCACAUUUUAUUGCACUGUAAGUGUUUGGCAGUUCUCAUGGAAACGUGGAAUUUUUUAACGUGUCUUAAGAGUGGAAACCCUAGAAAUGUACCCUCUGAUAGGCUAGAUCGAAUAAUUUCAGAUCUGUGAACAUUUCGUCUUUCAGAGGGCAUGUUUUACCUGAUUAUACCACAGUCUUUGAGUUUUACAUGAAUUCUAGUCUUAUCAACAAAAAAACACCACAUCCGGAAUGGGCGCCAGAUUUGUUUUGGGAAAAACGUUUUAAUUUUGUAAAAUAAAAAAUCCUGUAAUUCUACACAUUUUGCCAUGUUUUUAUGACGUGUUCAAAGUCUGAUUUGUAUUGUAUUCUUUGGGUUGGGGGGCCCCCUGGAGGUCAGGCAAGCGCCCUGCAUGUCCGGUCAGUAAUCCUGCUCUACUCCUGUGUCGGGUUCACAAACUUUUUCUGCAAACAAUUCCAAAUUGACACUAGAAAAUGGAGGGGACCCUACUUGGAGAAAUUAUAAUCCCAAAUUAACACUUCAGAUUCACAGCUUUAGGUACCUCAGGCUGUCCCAACAACAAUAAUGAUAUGAAAAAGCGCAUUCCAAUAGUGUAAAAAAGCAUUAAGGUCCCGAUUCAAUCAGAUCCGCACGUCGUCGGAGCUGUCAAAUCCACAAGUGCUGCACGGAGUUGCAUUAGCGUAUAUGCACCUAAAUAUUUUUGCUCUGCGACCUGGAAUUUUAAUUUUACGAGAAGAAGAAAAAAAAAUCGCCCAGAUAAUUGUUGCAAUGGUUCCUUCACUACGGAAGCCCCUAAAUGUGGGGGACACACUGAGCACAGGUUCAUGACCGUCAUACUUGCACCAUUACUACAAAGAAAACGGCUUGUUAUCAACAACAACCACAAAAUUGUGCUCCUACUUUUUCCCUUGUAAAAAAAAAAGGUAGAGGACUGCCUUGUUUACGUGUUCAAACACUGGAAUGUGAGAUGUAAUCCUAUACCCUGAUUAAAAUGAUAGAACACCUAAUUCUUUAAUGGUUUUUCAAUCUGAGUGUAAUUAUUUCAAUAUAGCCUAGUUUUGAACUUGUAACAGGAAUGGGACGGUUGUGACUUUGUGACAAUUAUGCAAGAGCAGUUGCUCACUAAUUUAAAGGCUUUCAAUGCAGUCCCACUGUCAAAACAUCCGCUCUUACUGGGUAACACUUGAUCUUAUUAAAUCUAGACCUGAAAGGUUGUAUUCCAUAACUACUUGAAGAAAAAAAUAGUUCUUC